CGCCCUCGACCUAUUCUC
rnacentral:snRNA from 1 species